rnacentral:rRNA from 1 species
UAACAAGGUUUCCGUAGGUGAACCUGCGGAAGGAUCAUUAUCGAAUCGUAGGCGAGGGUUGUCGCUGGCCUCUCGGGGCAUGUGCACGCCCGAGCCCUUGAAUCCCAAACACCACAUGUGAACCCACCGUAGGCCUUCGGGCCUAUGUCUUAUCAUAUAAUCUGAAUGUCUAAUAGAAUGUAAACCCAUUUCGUUGCCUUGAAAACGUAACGAAAGAAAACUAUACAACUUUCAACAACGGAUCUCUUGGCUCUCGCAUCGAUGAAGAACGCAGCGAAAUGCGAUAAGUAAUGUGAAUUGCAGAUUUUCAGUGAAUCAUCGAAUCUUUGAACGCACCUUGCGCCCCUUGGUAUUCCGAGGGGCAUGCCUGUUUGAGUGUCAUUAAAUCCUCAACCCCUCCGAUUCGUUUCGGUGGGGAUUGGACUUGGAGCGUGCUGGCGAAGGUCGGCUCCUCUUUAAAUGCAUCAGCGGAGAAAAUGCCUUUUGCGCCUCUGGCCGUUCAGCGUGAUAAUGAUGUUGCGCUGCGGUCGAGUUAAGGUCCGCUUCCAAAGGUCCUCGGACAAAUAUACAUAUGACUUUUGACCUCAAAUCAGGUAGGACUACCCGCUGAACU